UUCCAGAUGGUCCAGUGGUUGGCACUCCAGCUUCCAAUGCAGGAAUUGCAGGUUCGACCCCUGGUCUGGGAG
rnacentral:tRNA from 1 species